rnacentral:lncRNA from 1 species
CGAAGACCCUGGUCCUCUUUGACACCAUCAGUUCGCCAGAUGGACAAGUUGUGUGUUGCCCUCAUCACAGUCAUAUGGGCUGAUUCCUCCAGUCAGGAUGGGAUCUCUGGAUCUGAGGUGGUUCUGUUAGUCAGACCAGGAGACAACAUCACUCUGUACUGUGACUGCAGAAUAUCCCCUGGUGUAUUCAUCACAUGGUUCAGGAACUGUUCUCAUGAGCACCAACCUACCCUGGUUAUUAGCAUUUCCCGGAAUUUAGAAUCUCUAAAAAUGUAUCCUGGGAUUACAACAUUGUGGAAUCCCUCUAACAACACCUAUGACCUACUGAUUGAGAACAUCACUGAAUCUGACCUAGGACUCUACUACUGUGGGACUAAAGAGACUAAGGUGGUGGAUGAAGGAGGGAAAGGAGGUAUUAAACAGAAGGUGUUGUACCUCUAUGGAAACGUCACCUAUAGACUUUCAUUUGAGGUCAUCCCAGAGGUCAUCCAAGUGACUGAAGACUGUGGUCUGUGUUGGAUUCUGAUGUUCAGUCUGUGUCCUGUGUCUGUUCUCCUCUCUUCUCUCCUCUCCUCCUUCUGUGUUUACUCCUUCUGCAGAAAAACAGCUCCAAAUGAGACUUCAGUUCCUCUGAACAGGACGUCGACUAGGGGAAGUGACAGUAGAGAGAAGGAGGAAGAAGACCUGUGUUAUGCCUCAUUGGACAUCCGUCAGGGACAGAAGAGACCAAAGAAGAAGAAUAAAACCCAGAACUCUGACUUCAGUACCUACUCAGCCAUCAAUACCAGCAGAGUCUGACCUAUACCAGUCAUCAAUACCAGCAGACAGUGUCAUAUACCAGUCAUCAAAACCAGCAGAUUAUGACCUUUACCAGCCAUAAAUACAAGCAGUGAGAGACCAAUCAUCCAGUUGUAAAUUAACCUGAUCUUACACUGUAACUGCAUUGAGAAUGUAAUUUCAUUGUUAACUGUUACUUUUAGUAAAUGUAAAACAUAUUUCUUCAGCAAGAUCAGGGCCUCAAUUAAAUCAAACUUGCAUUGGAGUAUUAAACAGUAUCUAUUUUUAAAUAAAUGUACAUACUGGUAUUGGUUAUGGUCCUUGACUUCCGCCUGACUUUCUC